AUUAUGGAGAGUUUGAUCCUGGCUCAGGACGAACGCUGGCGGCGUGCCUAAUACAUGCAAGUCGAACGAAUCUAGAAGUUAGCUUGCUAACUUCUAGGUUAGUGGCGGACGGGUGAGUAACACGUAGGCAACCUGCCCCUAAGAUCGGGAUAACAUUCGGAAACGAAUGCUAAGACCGGAUACAUAAGUUGA
rnacentral:rRNA from 1 species